rnacentral:rRNA from 1 species
AUUGAACGCUGGCGGCAGGCCUACCACAUGCAAGUCGAGCGGAGCGGCGGACGGGUGAGUAAUGCCUAGGAAUCUGCCUGGUAGUGGGGGAUAACGUCCGGAAACGGGCGCUAAUACCGCAUACUAUCAGAUGAGCCUAGUUCGGAUUGGCUAGUGGGUGGGGUAAAGGCCUACCCAGUCGACGAUCCGUAACUGGUCUGAGAGGAUGAUCAGUCAAACUGGAACUGAGACACGGUCCCGACGCCUACGGGAGGCAGCAGGGGGGAAUAUUGGAGAAUGGGCGAAAGCCUGAUCCAGCCAGGCCGCGUGGGUGAAGAAGGUCUUCGGAUUGUAAAGCACUUUAAGUUGGGAGGCGUUACCAACAGAAUAAGCACCGGCUAACGUCGUGCCAGCAGCCGCGGUAAUAC